AUGGUGCUUGCACCAUCACUUAGCGGCGAACGGGUGAGUAAUGCCUAGGAAUCUGCCCAUUAGUGGGGGACAACGUGUGGAAACGCACGCUAAUACCGCAUACGCCCUACGGGGGAAAGCAGGGGACUCUUUGAGCCUUGCGCUAAUGGAUGAGCCUAGGUCAGAUUAGCUAGUUGGUGGGGUAAAGGCCUACCAAGGCGACGAUCUGUAGCGGGUCUGAGAGGAUGAUCCGCCACACUGGAACUGAGACACGGUCCAGACUCCUACGGGAGGCAGCAGUGGGGAAUAUUGGACAAUGGGCGCAAGCCUGAUCCAGCCAUGCCGCGUGUGUGAAGAAGGCCUUUUGGUUGUAAAGCACUUUAAGCGAGGAGGAGGCUUACCUGGUUAAUACCUGGGAUAAGUGGACGUUACUCGCAGAAUAAGCACCGGCUAACUCUGUGCCAGCAGCCGCGGUAAUACAGAGGGUGCGAGCGUUAAUCGGAAUUACUGGGCGUAAAGCGCGCGUAGGCGGUUUGUUAAGUCGGAUGUGAAAUCCCCGGGCUCAACCUGGGAAUUGCAUUCGAUACUGGCAAGCUAGAGUAUGGGAGAGGAAGGUAGAAUUCCAGGAGUAGCGGUGAAAUGCGUAGAGAUCUGGAGGAAUACCGAUGGCGAAGGCAGCCUUCUGGCCUAAUACUGACGCUGAGGUGCGAAAGCAUGGGGAGCAAACAGGAUUAGAUACCCUGGUAGUCCAUGCCGUAAACGAUGUCAACUAGCCGUUGGGGGAUUUGAUCCUUUAGUGGCGCAGCU
rnacentral:rRNA from 1 species